UAAAAAUUAAGCAUAGAUAAAUGUCAGUCAGCCUCACUAAGGUGAAACCGCGAAUGGCUCAUUAAAUCAUUCCUGAUACACUGGAUAGUAACAGUUACUUGGAUAACUGCGGUAAUUCUGGAGCUAAUACAUGCGACCAAGCCCCGAACUCACGUGACGGGCGCUUUUAUUAGAUCAAGACCAAACCCCCUCGGGGGUCCCUUGGUGACUCUGAAUAACCUCCUGCUGAUCGCACGGCCUCGCGCCGGCGACGUAUCUUUCUAAGGAAUGACCUAUCAACUGUCGACUGUGGCAUAGACGCCCACAGUGGUUUUGACGGGUAACGGGGAAUCAGGGUUCGAUUCCGGAGAGGGAGCCUGAGAAACGGCUACCACUUCUAAGGAAGGCAGCAGGCGCGCAAAUUACCCAAUGGGCGAAGCCCGAGGUAGUGACGAAAAAUAACGAUACCGGACUCAUCCGAGGCCCGGUAAUCGGAAUGAGAACAGUCUAAAUCCUUUAACGAGGACCCAUCGGAGGGCAAGUCUGGUGCCAGCAGCCGCGGUAAUUCCAGCUCCGAUAGUCUAUGCAAACGUUGUUGCGGUUAAAAAGCUCGUAGUUGGAUGUCGGCAGCGACGGGCCGGUUCGCUUUUGGCGUGACUGGUCCUGCUCGCUGUGAUUUGAGCGGAGGCGUCCGGGUGCUCUUAACCGAGUGUCCGUUCGCGCCGCUCGUUUUACCUUGAAUAAAUCAAAGUGCUCAAGGCAGGCUUCACAAGCCCGUAUUCCCGCGCAUGGAAAAAUGGAAUAGGACGUCGUUUCUAUUCUGUUGGUUUUCGGAAACGACGUAUUGAUUGAAAGGGACAGUCGGGGGCGUUCGUAUUCAGACCCUAGAGGUGAAAUUCUUGGACCGUCUGAAGACGCAUUACUGCGAAAGCAUUCGCCAAGAAUGUUUUCAUUAAUCAAGAACGAAAGUUAGAGGUUCGAAGGCGAUCAGAUACCGCCCUAGUUCUAACCAUAAACGAUGCCAGCCAGCGAUCCGCAGUUGUCAUUUAAGUCACUGCGGGAAGCUUCCGGGAAACCAAAGCCUUUGGGUUCCGGGGGAAGUAUGGUUGCAAAGCUGAAACUUGAAGGAAUUGACGGAAGGGCACCACCAGGAGUGGAGCCUGCGGCUUAAUUUGACUCAACACGGGAAAUCUCACCAGGCCCGGACACUGGAAGGAUUGACAGAUUGAGAGCUCUUUCUCGAUUCGGUGGGUGGUGGUGCAUGGCCGUUCUUAGUUGGUGGAGUGAUUUGUCUGGUUAAUUCCGAUAACGAACGAGACUCUGUCCUGCUAACUAGUCCUCGCGCCUUGCGUGCGCGAGGAAAUCUUCUUAGAGGGACUGGCUGCGUCUAGCAGCACGAGAUUGAGCAAUAACAGGUCUGUGAUGCCCUUAGAUGUCCUGGGCCGCACGCGCGCUACACUGAAUGCAUCAGCGUGUCCUCCCUCCCCGAGAGGGGCGGGUAACCCGCUGAACCGCAUUCGUGGUAGGGAUCGGGGCUUGCAAUUGUUCCCCGUGAACCAGGAAUUCCCAGUAAGCGCGAGUCAUAAGCUCGCGUUGAUUACGUCCCUGCCCUUUGUACACACCGCCCGUCGCUACUACCGAUUGAACGUUUUAGUGAGGUGUUUGGACCUGGCCUGGAGGGGUUCACGCCCUUCCUGUGCCGGGGAAGAUCCCCAAACUUGAGCG
rnacentral:rRNA from 1 species